rnacentral:rRNA from 1 species
AUGAAAUUCUAUUAUACCAAAGGGACUCGGUAAAGGCGAAGGCAGCCCUCUAUGUAAAAACUGACGUUGAAGGACGAAGGCACAGAGCACAAACAGGAUUAGAUACCCAAGUAGUCUUUGCAGUAAAUGAUGAAUGCCAUAGGUUAGAUUAAGCUUUAAUUAAUUAGUUUAUCAGUAAUAAACUAACUAUUAAACAAUAUUUAGUCUAUAAAUGAAAGUGUAAGCAUUCCACCUCAAGAGUAAUGUGGCAACGCAGGAACUGAAAUCACUAGACCGUUUCUGACACCAGUAGUGAAGUAUGUUGUUUAAUUCGAUGAUCCACGAAAAACCUUACCACAAUUUGAAUAUUUUACAGGAGUUGCACGGCUGUUUUCAGUUAAUGUUGUGAAACUGUGGUUUCCAUGAAAUUAACGCAAUCCCUGGCUUUAUUUUUUUUUAUUACAAUAAAGCAUUUGAUCCAGGAUUUGGAAAGAAAAAGGGGACAAAGACAAGUCAUCAUGGCCUUGAUAUUGUGGGCUAUAGACGUGCCACAUAUUCCUACACAAAGAGAUGCGAAAAUGUGAAUUUAAGCUAAUCUCUAAAAAUAGGAUAUAAAUUUUAAGGAUUAUAGUCUGAAACUCGACUAUAUGAAUAAGUAAUUACUAGUAAUCGUGAAUCACCAUGUCACGGUGAAUUUACCUUGGAUUGGUACUAACCACUCGUCACAUGCUGAAAAGAGCAUGCGCAAUAAGUUUGCUUUCUUGAUGAUCAGUAAAAAGAAUAAGCAGGUUCUAUAUUCUAUUAUUAAG